rnacentral:rRNA from 1 species
AAACGGGUGGUAAUGCCGGAUGUUCCACAUGAUCGCAUGUGAUUGUGGGAAAGAUUCUAUCGGCGUGGGAUGGGGUCGCGUCCUAUCAGCUUGUUGGUGAGGUAACGGCUCACCAAGGCUUCGACGGGUAGCCGGCCUGAGAGGGCGACCGGCCACAUUGGGACUGAGAUACGGCCCAGACUCCUACGGGAGGCAGCAGUGGGGAAUAUUGCACAAUGGGCGCAAGCCUGAUGCAGCGACGCCGCGUGAGGGAUGGAGGCCUUCGGGUUGUAAACCUCUUUUGUUUGGGAGCAAGCCUUCGGGUGAGUGUACCUUUCGAAUAAGCGCCGGCUAACUACGUGCCAGCAGCCGCGGUAAUACGUAGGGCGCAAGCGUUAUCCGGAUUUAUUGGGCGUAAAGGGCUCGUAGGCGGCUCGUCGCGUCCGGUGUGAAAGUCCAUCGCUUAACGGUGGAUCUGCGCCGGGUACGGGCGGGCUGGAGUGCGGUAGGGGAGACUGGAAUUCCCGGUGUAACGGUGGAAUGUGUAGAUAUCGGA